rnacentral:rRNA from 1 species
GGGGGAUAUUGCACAAUGGGGGAAACCCUGAUGCAGCAACGCCGCGUGAGUGAAGAAGUAUUUCGGUAUGUAAAGCUCUAUCAGCAGGGAAGAUAAUGACGGUACCUGACUAAGAAGCUCCGGCUAAAUACGUGCCAGCAGCCGCGGUAAUACGUAUGGAGCAAGCGUUAUCCGGAUUUACUGGGUGUAAAGGGUGCGUAGGUGGCAGUGCAAGUCAGAUGUGAAAGGCCGGGGCUCAACCCCGGAGCUGCAUUUGAAACUGCAUAGCUAGAGUACAGGAGAGGCAGGCGGAAUUCCUAGUGUAGCGGUGAAAUGCGUAGAUAUUAGGAGGAACAUCAGUGGCGAAGGCGGCUUACUGGACUGAAACUGACACUGAGGCACGAAAGCGUGGGGAGCAAACAGGAUUAGAUACCCUGGUAGUCCACGCUGUAAACGAUGAUUACUAGGUGUGGGGGGUCUGACCCCUUCCGUGCCGGAGUUAACACAAUAU